UUUCUUACCUGGUAGGGGAGAACCAUGAUCAAGAAGGUGGUUUUCCCAGGGCAAGGCUUAUCCAUUGUAGUCAGGUGUACUUACCUGUGUGAUUUCCCCAAAUCUGGGAAAUUUGAUUACAUAAUUUGUGGUAUGGUAGUGGGGGACUACAUCCGCGCUCUU